UACAGCCAUAUCAUGCUGAAGCACUGGUUCUUGUCCGAUCACUAAAGUUAAGCAACAUUGAACCUGGUCAGUACUUAGAUGAGUGACUACCUGAAAAUAUCAGAUGUUGUAAG